GACGAACGCUGGCGGCGUGCCUAAUACAUGCAAGUUGAGCGCUGAAGGUUGGUACUUGUACCGACUGGAUGAGCAGCGAACGGGUGAGUAACGCGUGGGGAAUCUGCCUUUGAGUGGGGGACAACAUUUGGAAACGAAUGCUAAUACCGCAUAAAAACUUUAAACACAAGUUUUAAGUUUGAAAGAUGCAAUUGCAUCACUCAAAGAUGAUCCCGCGUUGUAUUAGCUAGUUGGUGAGGUAAAGGCUCACCAAGGCGAUGAUACAUAGCCGACCUGAGAGGGUGAUCGGCCACAUUGGGACUGAGACACGGCCCAAACUCCUACGGGAGGCAGCAGUAGGGAAUCUUCGGCAAUGGACGAAAGUCUGACCGAGCAACGCCGCGUGAGUGAAGAAGGUUUUCGGAUCGUAAAACUCUGUUGGUAGAGAAGAACGUUGGUGAGAGUGGAAAGCUCAUCAAGUGACGGUAACUACCCAGAAAGGGACGGCUAACUACGUG
rnacentral:rRNA from 1 species